AUUGAACGCUGGCGGCAUGCCUUACACAUGCAAGUCGAACGGCAGCACGGGUGCUUGCACCUGGUGGCGAGUGGCGAACGGGUGAGUAAUACAUCGGAACAUGUCCUGUAGUGGGGGAUAGCCCGGCGAAAGCCGGAUUAAUACCGCAUACGAUCUACGGAUGAAAGCGGGGGACCUUCGGGCCUCGCGCUAUAGGGUUGGCCGAUGGCUGAUUAGCUAGUUGGUGGGGUAAAGGCCUACCAAGGCGACGAUCAGUAGCUGGUCUGAGAGGACGACCAGCCACACUGGGACUGAGACACGGCCCAGACUCCUACGGGAGGCAGCAGUGGGGAAUUUUGGACAAUGGGCGAAAGCCUGAUCCAGCAAUGCCGCGUGUGUGAAGAAGGCCUUCGGGUUGUAAAGCACUUUUGUCCGGAAAGAAAUCCUUGGCUCUAAUACAGUCGGGGGAUGACGGUACCGGAAGAAUAAGCACCGGCUAACUAUGUG
rnacentral:rRNA from 1 species